UAUAAUUAGUGUGGUGUUAAUAUUCCCAUCUAAAUAAAUAGAUCAGUUUAUUUAGGACUACCAUCUAAAUACAACAAGGUCAGAACAUAAUUAAUAUUAUGAGUGACAUUUAUUGUCAUCUAAUCUGGGGUUACAGAUUAUAACCCUAACAUUAUCCAUCUGUUUUAUAAAUUUGUGCCAUUGUUCACAAAUUAACAAAUGUGUGGCUGGAUAGGAAAACUGUAUCAGUGCAACUAAAAUCUGUCUACAACACACAUUCUGCUGCUUUUGAAUCUUAAAUUAAUGCACAGCACAGGAUAGCAUUGAGGACUGGGGGUAAAUCAACAUGAGGCAUUAGAUGUCCCUAACUUACCUUGUGCUGCCUUAACUACCUUCUACCUGAAUGGGAGGCAUAAGGAAUUAUCUCACCUGGUCCCCCAAGGCAAGUUACUCAUAAAUCAAGAAGAAGUAGUAAUGUUCACCCCCAAUUCAAAAUGUGUCUAUUGUGUUCGUUUAUCAGUAGAAAAUAAAUAAGAAAAUUUCUGCUAGAUGGAAAUAGGCUGAAUUGCCUUAAACUACUCUACUGGUAAAGUAUGUCUGAAAAUGCAUUCGAUCCAUUGGAAAUUGCUUUUUUCCCCCUCCAGUGGAAAGGAAUAAAAGUACUUAACAUUAAGUAUUCAUAAGGUUUAGGUUUAUAUGGGUUAAAAAUUUGAACUCUAGACACAAAAGGGGAGAAAUCAUUACCUAAUCUUUCACAGCUGAACAAUUCCGUGAGGGAUGUGCUAUACCCUAGUGAAAAGAGCAAAGCUUGGAGUCAAACAAGCCUGGGCUUGAAUACAUCUCUGAUGAUUAUUUAGUGGCUAACCUUGGUAGCUAUGCUUCAGCUGUGUUAUUCUAAAAUUCUGGUUCUAUUGUAGUGUUGUGAGGAUUAAAAGACCCAGGUGUUUUGUAAGCACUCCUUGAGUGUGUUUUUCUUUCUCUUAUGUGGCAUAAAUAAGUGUUGACAGGAACUCAUAGCCACUGUUGAUAGCCAUCUCCAUAUAAAUUCCUUUAUGACAAAGAUAGUAACUGGGAAUAAAUGUCCACAUAUUUACAUGUAACAGGAAUCUUAAGCAAAGAAAGAUCAAGUUUGUUUUUUUAUCUGAAAAUUCAAGAUUCUAUACUGGCCCUAUCUCCAAGAAUUGUUGAGGAUCAUAGUUGUGGAGCAUCUCACCAUUUUCAAAAAUGUUUUCAGAAAAAUCACAUCCAAGUGAUAUAAAAACAUGAGCACAUAGCACUCUAAAGCCAUAUUGUUGACACAAAAGAGCGAGCCACCAAUUCAAAGGGCUCUUGCCUUCUGGAUUUUGUUGUUUUUCCCCCAUAGAGAUGAUAUGGACACACUUUGUAAGUUACACAAUCAUAAACUUGUGCAGUCUCCAUAUUUCAAUUAGUGUGGUUAUUCUAUCCAUAUACUUCUCAUUGACCUGCCCCAGGUCCAAGUUCACUGGUAGUAUCUUGGAUCUACUAAGUCCACUUAUUCUUCGAUGCUCUAUGCAAUGCCUCUGCAAAUUCAAAAGCACAAGGCUAAAGCUAUCAUUUGGCUGAAGCAGUGCCAUUUCCUCACCUUGACCUUAAAAGAAGAUUUCUUAUGUCAGAAAUGCCCUUCGUGCCGAGGGCCCAGAUUUCUCUAUGAAGGUAUUACCAAGCUAAGAGAAAUUUUAGCCAAAGUUCCAUCCAGAAACCCAGAGAAUCUCUUCUUGUAAGGCCAUAGGUAGGCAACAAUUCCAACAACUGCAAUCAUGCUAACUGCAUGGUAUCAGAAAAAGUUUUAUUAAAAGAAAAAGCAAAACAACUUAACACAAGGCAGGAAAAUUAUAGUAAUUUAAAAAUCUCCCCAUUGAAAUUUUCAGUUGCUUUAUAAAAUAUCUCUUAGGUAGCAGGGUCCUCUGGAUGCUGCUCCCAAGAUAUCUGACUUCUGCCCACUAAUAACUUGGAUUUUUUCUGGUAUGGUCUGUACACUUGGGAGUAGUCAGUUCAACGUGAAGUGUUAGUUCCAAGCAGGGUGGCAAUAUAAUAUAGUAGGUAAGAAUGUGGAUUCUGCAUUUAGACUGCUUGGAUAUGAAUCCUAGCUUUGUCACUAACCAGCUGUGUGUGAUUAAAGGACGCCACAUCCUACAUUUUAACAAGGACAAAUAAAAACCUACUUGCUGUACUUAAAAAAUGGUAAAUAAGCUUUCCCACCAAAAUUGUUCUUUUCCUUGUAACUACUUUUUCCAAAAUUAAUUAAAAUCAUACAUGUAUACCCUAUUAAGUAUUAGCAUAUAGGUUCCUCUCUCAAAAGAGAUAAACACCUGCUACCCUCCCCCCAAAGUCAUAAACAAGUUUAGAAAGGUUCAAAAGUUCUGGAAUGUAUUGAUCAGGAAUGGUAUACUUAGCCAACAAUGCAUCUGUAAUGAUGUAAUGGCUUCCGUAACUGGGUGUAGCCAAUCAGAAUAGGGCUGAUGUAACUGCAAGCCAAUAGAUUGUGAGGCACACCCAGGGUGCUCAACCUCCCCAGUCAGAACAUGGGGCCAGCCGGCCAAGUCAUGAUGAACGGUGAUCCCUGUGACCGUCUGAGCCGUUGCGGACGGCCGCAGUCUGACCGUAAGGCAACUCCUACCCCCAGUGAAGAUUGGAGCACAGACCUCUGCCAGUAGAAACCGCCAGACCUACUGGCUGCGAAUAAGCUGAGGCAGUGAGAGGCACUAGCCAGUUCCCAAGCGUGUGACACGUGCUUUCUUCCAGCUAUCUCUUUCUUUCUUGCGGUUUUUGCUUGGCCUAUUGAAGGAAAGAAAUGAGUGAAAGCUGUUUGAGCUAAGUGGUAUUUGUGCGUAAUUUCUGUUGACAUCGUCUUCUCGUUUAUAUUUUGUCUUCGUUUUGAUGUUGUUGCUCAGAAUAAAACAUUGAGUAAUCCAGGAGAAGUCAUUUAACCUCUGUAAACCCCUUUUCAAGGCGGGGAUAUUAAGAGUUGUGGGAAAUAAAUGAGUUAAUAUAUGCCAAAUGCUUCGAACAGCUUCUGGCGCGUGAUAAAUGCUAUGUCAAUGUCAGCCGUUAUUAUUAUCAAGAACUGGGGAAGGCCUCUGGUAUGGGAUGUACAAAGGUUACCUGGGAGACAAGACUAAUUUUGCCUGCUCAAUAACAAGCAAGUUCCUUUUCGCCCGAUAACGUUGAUAUUCAGCCUCUCAUAUCUGCUGCUUCUUUUGUUUGACAGUGUCUUAAAAGAAGGUCGAAUAAACUUGGGAACUGAAAGGGCCUCUUCUAUUUGGGGGAAAUGCAAAUAGUCUCGUUCUGCUGUAGUCAGGGUGUGGGAGAGAAGGAGACUCUGUCCAAGAAGAAUCCAGAUUUCUCCCUCACAAGAUUCUGCCCCACAGUGCUGAGACACCACUGGAGCUGUUAUGUGGGAGACCACCACAGCUCCAAGACCACCUCAAGAGAAACCAACACAGCCACAGUUCCUGAGGUCCCCGAGACCCAAAGUGUUUGCAGGAGAAAUCUCCCACAGAAGAUGAGCUUACCACCACAAACAGCCAAAGGGAGACAGAAAAGGAGAUUGCGGGGAUGCAAUGUGAGAAGGAUGGAACCAGCCAUAACCAGCUUUGAACAUGAAGCAAGGGAACCGCAAGCCGAGGAAUGUGAGCACCCUGUAGAAGGUGAAAAAGGUGAGGAGACACAUUCUCCCCUAGAGCCGCCAGGAAAGAAUGCAGCCCCACCACCACCUCGAUUUGAGCCCAGUAAGACCCGUGCCAGAAUUAUGACCUGCAGAACCAUAAAAUAAUAAAUUUGCGUUGUUUUAAGUUACUAAAUUUGUGAUAAUUUGUUACAGCAAUAGAAAACGAAUAGAGGGCUUCUUUGGAAAAUCAGAUGAUGUGAAGGCCCCAGCCUAUGUUUUUUCACAUGAUAAUAGGCUGAAGCUGCCUAGUUGCUGCCACUUAGUAUUGCCAAAGGGCAAUUAUUCUCCACCGUUCCUUUUGUUAAUUUAUGUCUAGCUGUUUUACUCAGUUAAGGACAUGGCCCCUGUAGACACAGGUGUGUUUUCCAGGUGCCAGAUGCCAUACCAGGCAGAGAUUACCAAAAUGAAUUAGGCCUGGCCCUAAAUAUUGAGUGUUUAUGGUCUAGUAGGGAGACCGAUUCAUAAACAGAUAAUGUCAACACAAUGUUGUGAGUCCUCCAAGGGCAGUGCAUACAGGGUGCUCUGGGAACACGAAGCAGUGUGUAGCCCAGCCCUGGGUAAGCAUUCAAGGAGGCGAUGGCUCCAUGUUUCAAACAAUAUGAUCCUAGCUUCAAAUAGCGAUAUCACUGUCACACAGUACUUACUAUAUACGAUGUAAAUGAUGUAUAGUACUAUAUAUAUGUCAUAAGUGCCUUAUCUACAUUAAUUCAUUUAAUCCUCCCAGUAACUGAGGUACGUACUGUUAUUAAAUGCAUUUCACAGAUGAUAAAACUGAGGAACUGAAAAGUUAGGUUACUUGCCCAAGGUCCCAUGACUAUUAAAUGUGGAGCCACAAUUUGAGCCACGGUGUUUUGGCUCUGGUGUCUGGGCUUUUAACACCUACCCUCUACCACCUUCUGUAACUCCAGCAUCUUUGCUUGAAUGCCAGGAGUGGAAUUGAUGCCUGUGCUCACAGUGAGACCCAGAUCUCCUCUGGAGCUCACAUUUGCCUUGACACUAAUUCUUCACAGGUGAAGUAACUCCUUGUAGCCCCAGUGUUUUUACUGGAAAUGGUUUCUAAGAAAUAGCAGUGCUUUAAGGAGUCAUAGAAAGUAGCCAGACGGGUGAGUGAAGGAAGAACAAGGGAAUCCUUGCCCUCUUUUCUCCAUGUGUAUGUACUUCUUGGGUGAUUCCAUCCAAACCCAGGAUGCUAAUAACGCUUGUUAGGUAGUCACUUUUUAUUGAGACAUUUAAGGUAUAUCAGGUCAGUUUUAGUAAUCAUUAAGCUCAACCACAAUAAAUGAAGCAGAUUAUAUAUCACUAUGCAGGUUAACCAAAUUCUUUAAUGUCAUCUAUCCAACUCGUCGCUUCUCAAAUAUUUAUUGAGUACAUAUCAAGUGCCAGGCACAAUUCUGCAUUCUGAGGAUACAGUAGUGAACAAAAAAAUUCUUGCUCUCAUGAAACUUAUAUAUCCGCCUAGGAGAAACAGACAAUAAACAAGUAGGUAAAAUCUGUGAUAGGCCAGAUGGUGGUAAAUAAUGCUAUGGAAAAAAUAAGAGCUGGGAAAAGCAGGGUAAAGAAUAUAGGGGCUGUAAUUUAAAAUGUGAUGGUUAGGCAAGGUCUCAUCACAAAGGUAACAUUUGAGCAAAUAUCUGAAUGAGGUGAAGGAGCAAGCAUGAGUAUUCCUGGAGGAAGAAUGUUCCAAGAAGAGGGAACAACAAAUACGAAGGCCCUGGGGCAGGAGAUAGUUGGCAUGUUCAAGGAACACCAAGGAAGUUCAUGCAGUUGAAGCAGAGUGAAUGAACAGGUGAGAAGAAAUAGGGUCAAAAAAUAACAGAUCAGAUUACAGGGCUUUAAGUGAUACGAGGACUGUCCUGUGAGUGAGUUGGGGGCCAUUGAAGGGUUUGGGGCAGAAGAAUGACCUUUUCCUAUAUUUUUAAAAGCUUGCUCUAGCUGCUGUAUUGAAAACAGAUUCUAGGGAGGAGGAGGCUAUUAAAAUGUAAGAGAUAAUGGUGACAGGAAAAAGAGAAGAAGGGAGAAUGGCUCCAAGGGUUUACCUGAGCAUCUGGAAGGAAAGAGCUGGCAUUUAUUAUAUGGGAGACAGUUCAGAGAGAAAAGCAGAGCUUGGUUUUGGAUGCAUUAAGUUUGAAGUUACUGUUAGACAUUCAAGUGUAGACAGUUGGGUAUAUGAGUCUGCAGUUCAGGAGAGAGGUCAGAGUGAAGACAUAAGUUGAGGAGUCAUCAGCACAUGGACAAUUUUUAAAACCAUAAAACUAGAUGAGAUCAGCAAACGAAUCGCUACAGCUAGAGACGAAGUCCAAGGACCGAGCCUUGAGGCGUCACAAUUCCACAGCUGGGAAGGAGCAGCCAAUGGAGUAAGAGUAAAACUACUAGAAAGUAGUAUUCCAGAAACCAAUGGAGAAAGUGAUUCAAAGAGGGUCAUAGUAGAUUAAAUAAUAGACCCUAGUCUUCAUCCAUCCCUGUCUCCAUGCUCUUUGCCAUAUGACUUUGCAAGUACUCUCCCUUAUGGUAAAAGAUAUCUACUGGCCCUUUGAUUUGGGGCUCAAAGGCAAGAUUUUCUUUAGCCAAUAGAAUGUUGGUGGAAGCACCAGUGGUAGUUCUGACUCCAGACCUUAGAGGGACUCUGUGUUUCCACUUGCCCACUUGAAAUAUAUCAUCAACAUGGAAGAAACAUGACCUCGUUGACACACUGGUCCAAGAAAGAUUGGAGUACUUGUGGAGCAGACUUGAACCCAUCCUUCUGCUUGAGGCCUAGCCGGGUUGAGCCCAGCCUAGAUCAGAAGACCCUUCAUGUGACACACAGAGGAAUAAGCAAAAAUAUAAAUAUUAUAAGCUACUGAGUUUGAGGUGGUUUGUUACACAGCACUGUUGUAGCAAUAGUUGACUGAAAACAGGGAUAACAAGGAAAUGGUAAACUGUCAAAUAUGGCUGACAGGACAAGUAGAUCAGGACUGAGAACUGACCUUGAAUUUAACAACAUGGAGGUUACUGGUGACCCUGAAGAGCAGUUUUAUCAAAGUGCUGAGGUGAUAGCUUGCGUGAAGUAGGUUCAAUGGAGUAUGGGAAAAGACGGAUUGAAGAAAAAUAGUGGAGACAAUUUUUGUAAAUAAACUGUGGUGCAAAGGGCAGGAGAGGACUAAAGUAGCAACUGAAGAGAGGAGUGAUGUCAAGAGAGAGGGUGUUUUUAAUGGAUUUUCUUUUAUUUUCUACUUUAUCAUACUUUUAUUAAUGAAUAGAUGCUAUUUAUAUCAUUUUUAUGGAAUAAGUUUGCAAAUGUUUUCAGAUUUUUCAUUAAAGCAGUUGAAAAAUCAUUGUGACUUAGUCUACCCAAUUUGUAACGCUUAAAAUAUCAUAUUUGCCCACAUCCUUUUUUUUUUUUUUUUUUCAGAGACAGUGUUGCCAUGCAGAGGGCAGGAAGGAGAGAGAGCCCUUGUGUGUCAGGCAGCCCCCGAGGUGCUGUGCCAAAGGGGCUGUUCCGGAGAUAGGCAGGAAGUAGCACAGGCAGGGUUUCCUCCUGCCUGUCCUGAGAAAUGCUGAGGGCACCCAAGAGUUCUGAGCACAGGUCAACAUCUUCUUUUUUUAAAUAAUAGCUCCAUUGAGAUACAUUUCACAUACAUACAAUCCACCCAUUUAAAGUAUACACACCAGUGGUUCUUAAAAGAGGAGGGUUUUUAAGAUGGGGAAAAUAAAAUGUAUUUUUAUGCUGAUGAGAAGAGUCUAGUAGAGAGGGGGAAAUUCAUGACGCUGAAGAUUGGGUUGGGGGGAUGUGGAGCUGGGGCCGUGUGUCCUUAGGUAGGUAAGAGGGGUGAGAUCUGAAGGACAAUCACUGACUCUUCAUCCUUAGUAUCAAGGAAAAAAGCAGAGUAUAUGGGCACAGGUGCAAUAAAUGGCUAUAUAUGAUGGUGUGAGAUUGAGAAAGAUUCUUGAUUGCUUCUACUUUCUCAGUGAAAUAGAAAGCAGAAAAAGAGAGACUGUCUUUCUUUGUUCUCCCUGCAUCUCAUUGGCUCAAGUUGGGUCAUGUGCCCAUUUCUACAUUAAUUCCUGUUGCAGGAUAAUUCCAUGCUCUGAUUGACUCAGGCUUGUAUUUCUGAAUCAACCAACUUUAAUGGAGUUGGGCUUGAACUAAUCAGGACCCACUCCGGGGAUGAACUCCCCAGGUUACAUGGCUAAAGUCUAAUGGGGGAAGGUGGAAUGGAUUCUGGGGAGUCACAGAAAUGUCCUCCUCACUUUCCACAAUCACAGUUCACAGCACAGGCUGACCUCAAAGCUCUAAGCAGGGUGUGUUAGUUUCCUACUGCUGCUGUAACAAAUUACCACCAACAGUGGCUUAAAACAAUAGAAAUUUAUUCCCUUACAGUUCUGGGGUAAGAAGUUUGUGAUCAGUUUCACUGAACGAAAAUCAAAGUGUUGACAGUGUUGUUUUCUUCUGGGAGCUCUGUGGGGAGAAUCUGUUUCCCUGACUUUUUCAACUUCUAGUAGCUUCCUAUAUUCUUUGGCUUGUGACCCUUCCUCCAUUUUCAAAGCACAUCACUCCAAUCUCUGUUUCCAUCAUCACAUCACCUUCUGUCUGACUCUGACUCCUCUUGCUUCACUCUUAAAAAGAUCAUAGUGAUUAUAUCAGCCUCAUUCAGAUAAUCCAGGAUAAUCUCCCCAUCUCAAAAUCCUUAAUCACAUCUACAAAGUCCCUUUUGCCAUAUGAGGUAGUAUUCACAGGUUCCAGAUUUAGGAUGUGGAAAUAUCUGAGGAACCAUUAUUCAGCUUAUUACAAUGAGAAUACCCAAGGGCCCACUUUAUGAAGAGGAGAGAGAGGCCUGCCCUAAGGGGCAGACUUGGGUUAGUUUACCACAUGGAAAGGAGAGACGGAGACAAAGCACUAUAUUCAGUCAGAGAACCAUAAUGGGGUCAGGACUGUCCUACCUUAGGGACAUAGCAACUCCCUAACCUCGUGUGAUAACUUAGUCCACAGAGUUCUUGAUCACCUUUCCCUUCCUCAAAACAUCACACUAGUCUAUCACAUUGAUGAUUGUAUGCUUAUUGGACCUAGUGAGCAAGAAUUAUCAACUGCUAUAGACGUAUUAGUAACACAUUUCUGUGUCAGAGGAUAGGAAAGAAAUCUGACAAACGUUCAGAGGCCUUCUACCUCUGUGAAAUUUCUAGGGGUCCAGUGGUAUAGGGCAAGUCAAGAUAUCCCUUCUAAGUUGAAAGAUAAGUGUUGCAUCUGUCCCCUUCUAUAAUCAAAAUGCAGGCAUAAUGCUUAGUGGGCCUCUUUGGAUUUCAGAGGCAACAUAAUCCUCAGAAUGCGUGACUCCAGGCUGUUUAUUGGGUGACCCAAAAAGCUACUAGUUUUAAAUUGAGUCCAGAGCAAGAGAAGGCUCUGCAACUGGUUCAGGAUGUUGCAGUGGCUGCUCUUCCGUUGGAGCCACAUGACCCAGCAGAUCCCAUGGUGCUUGAAGUGUCAGUGGCAGAUAGGAAAGCUGUUGGGAGCCUUUGGCAGGUCCUUCCAUGUGAAUCACAGCAUAGACCCUUCGGAUUUUGGAGCAAAGUUCUGCCAUCCUAUGUGAAUAACUACUCUCCUUGGAGACACUUGCCUGCUACUGGGUCCUAGUAGAGACCGAAUACUUACCCACGGCUCACCAAGUUACCAUGUGACUGAGCUGGCCAUCAUGAACUGGAUGUUGUCUGACUCACCAAGCCAUAAAGUUGGUUGUGUGCAGUAUAUUCCAUCAUCACAUGAAAGUAGUAAAUAUGAGAUCGGGCUUGAGCAGGCCCUAAAGGCACAGGAAGUUACAUGAGGAAGUGGCCCACGUGCCCGUGGUUCCCGCUCCUCCUACAUUACCUUCUCUCUCCCAGCCGGCACUUAUGGCCUCGUGAGGAGUUCCCUAAAAUCAGUUGACUGAGGAAGAGGAAACUUGCACCUGGUUUACAGAUGGUUCUGCACGAUAUGCCAGCACCACCUGAAAGUGCACAGCUGCGGCCCUAGAUCCCCUUUCUGGGACGUCCCUGAAGAAAGGUGGUGAAGGAAAAUCCUAGCGUUAAGCAGAACUUUGAGCAUUGUUGUUCACUUUGCUUUGAAAGAGAAUGGCCAGACGUGCAAUUAUAUACCAAUUCAUGCUUUGGCAGGAUAGCUAGGGACUUGGAAGGAAUGUGACUGGAAAAUUAGUGACAAAGAAGUCUGGGAAAGAGGUAUAUAGAUAGACUUCCCUAAAUGGGCAAAAAAGUGAAGAUAGUUGUGUCCCGUGUGAAUGCUCACCAAAGAAUACCCUCAGCAGAGGAAGGUUUUAAUAACCAAGUGGAUAGGAUGAUCCAUUCUGUAAAUACCAGUCAGCCACUCCUGUCAUCACCCAAUGGGCUCAUGAACAAGGUGGCCAUGGUUGCAGGGAUGGAGGUUAAGCCUUGGCUCAUCAACAUGGACUUCUGCUUACCAAUGCUGACCUGGCUACAGUCACUGCUGAGUGCCCAAUCUGUCAGCAGCAGACGCCAAACCCAAGUCCCAAAAUAUGGCAUCAUUUUAUGGGGUGACCAGCCAGCUACCUGGUGGCAGGUUGAUUGCAUUGGACCACUUCCAUCAUGAGAUGAGCAGUGUUUUGUGUUUACGGGAAUAGACCCUUUCUCUGGAUAUGGAUUUGCCUUUCCUGCAUGCAAUUCUUCUGCCAAAACUACCAUCUGUGGACUGACAGAAUGCCUUAUCCACUGUCAUGGUAUAAGCAUUGUAAGAAGCAUGGAAUUCACUGGUCUUACUAUGUUCCCCAUCGUCCUGAAACAGGUGGUUUGAUAGAACAGUGGAAUGGCCUUUUGAAGUGACUCGGGUAUGACACAGGCUAGAUGCCAAUACUUUGCAGGGCUGAGCCAACAUUUUCCUGGAGGCUGUAUAUAUUCUAACUCAGUGUCCAAUACAUAGUGCUGUUUCUCCCAUGGUCAAGAUUCAUGAGUCCAGGAGUCAAGGGCUAGAAAUUAAAGUGGAACCAUUCGCUAUUACCCCUAGUGACCCACUAGCAAAAGUUUUGCCUCCUGUCCUGUGAACUUAUGCUCUACUAGUCUAGAAGUCUUAGUUCCAGAGCAAGGAAUGCUUCCACCAAGAGACACGUUAAUGAUUUCAUUGAACUGGAUGAUAAAACUGCCACCCAGCCACUUUGGGCUCCUCAUGCCUCUGAAAUAGCAGUCAAAGAAAGGGAGUUUCCGUCCUGGCUGGGGUGAUUGAUCCUGAUUACCAAGGGAAAAUUGGGCUGCUACUACAACACAGAGAUAAAGAAAAGUGUGUCUGAAGUACAUGAGACCCCUUAAGGAUCUCUUAGUACUACCAUGCCCUAUGGUUAAAAUCAAUGGAAAAAUACAACAGCCCAAUUUACACAAGACUACUAAUGGCCCAGACCUUUCAGAAAUUAAAGUUUGGUCACCCCACCAGGCAAAGAACCAUAACUAGCUGAGGUGCUUGCUGUGGGUAAUGGAAAUGUGAAAUGGGUAAUGGAAGAACGUAGUUAUUAUACCAGCUACAACCAUUUGACCAGCUGUAGAAAUUAGGACUGUAAAUGUUGAGUAUUUCUUCCUUAUUUUGUUAUGAAUAUAUAUGUAUAUUUUCUUCCCUCUCUUAUUUCUCUAUCAUAUAACAUAAAAUAUGUUAAUAUAUGUUAAUACAUGUAUUAAUAUAUUAAUGAAAGUUUACAUAAUCAAGGAGAAGAAUGAACGAAAUCAUCCAAGGACUUUGCAUCCUCUUCUGAGGAAAGGAUUUAGGCCGUUCUUAAUUGCACGCAAUGGAGGCUGAAGAAUGACUUUCUCCUUGUCUAUGCUUAGAGAUUAAGUAUGGUUUAAGGAGAUGUGUAUAGGUACCAAGUUGCUGAGGUGACUAUGAUGGUUAGUUUUAUGCGUCAACUUGGCUAAGCUGUGGUACCCAGUUAUUUGAUCAAACAAUAAUCUGGUGUUGCUAUGAAGAUAUUUUCUAAAUGUUUUUAACAUCUACAAUCAGUUGACUUUAGUAAAGGAGAUUUUCUUGCAGUUGAAAGGCUUCUAGAGCAGGCUCAAGCUGGGUGAGGGAGCAGUAUUAACUUUCAAACUAGUUCCUUUUUUUUGGUGAGGAAGAUUGACCCUGAGCUAACAUCUGUUGCCAAUCUUCCUCAUUUUGUUUGGGGAAGAUUGUCCCUAAGCUAACAUCUGUGCCAAUCUUCCUCUAUUUUUUUUGUAUGUGGGUCACCACCACAGCAUGGCUUUGAUGAGCUGUGUGUAGGUCUGUACCCAGGAUCUGAACCUGUGAACCCCAGACCACUGAUGUAGACUGCUUGAACAUAACCACUAUGCCGCUGGGCUGGCCCCCUAAACGAGUUCCAUUUUUUAUUAUUUUACUAUUCUGUUC
rnacentral:lncRNA from 1 species